GAGAAAGUGCGCAACUGUGAAUGGCUAUUGCUUCCGAAAAGACAACAGGAAAAGGAUGUUGCGGCAGCCCGCGUGUCUGACUGCGGUGCAGUCUGUGGUGGAAAGUGCCUGAGGCCCUGAGCAGAAAAGUACCGCCCUCUCCCGUUCCCAUGCUGUCUGACUACCUGCCAGAGCUAUCCUGUCGAACUACAAGUCUCAGUGAUGCUGAGAGAAGACACAGUGGGCAGACAGCAGCAGCACGUAAGAAGGAGGCCCUGGAGGAUUCACGCCUGCACCUGUCACCGGACCGACCAGAGCCGUCCGGGCUGAGUGGAGAAGAUGCCACAGAAGAGGAGUCCAGCCAGCCGCAGGACCAGGAAAGGACAUCCAAACUUUGGUGGAUCGGGACACUGCAGCAAGGGAGGAGACUGACCAGCGAUGGGAGCACCAGCAGAAGACCCUGGCUGGCUUAAAGAAGACAACACGGAACAGCGGAGAGGAUGGCGCAGAUCGGGAUCCUGCAGCAGGAGAGAAGAUUCCUCUUCGGAGCGCAGCAGACCACACUGAAAAGGCUGCAUUCCCGAUGCGGUGCUCUGCAUCCUGGGUGGCGCCGAAGACGUGGAGUGUCGGAGGUGGCAGAAGCGCCGCAGC